rnacentral:rRNA from 1 species
GACGAACGCUGGCGGCGUGCUUAACACAUGCAAGUCGAACGGAAAGGCCCUGCUUUUGUGGGGUGCUCGAGUGGCGAACGGGUGAGUAACACGUGAGUAACCUGCCCUUGACUUUGGGAUAACUUCAGGAAACUGGGGCUAAUACCGGAUAGGAGCUCCUGCUGCAUGGUGGGGGUUGGAAAGUUUCGGCGGUUGGGGAUGGACUCGCGGCUUAUCAGCUUGUUGGUGGGGUAGUGGCUUACCAAGGCUUUGACGGGUAGCCGGCCUGAGAGGGUGACCGGCCACAUUGGGACUGAGAUACGGCACAGACUCCUACGGGAGGCAGGAGUGGGGAAUAUUGCACAAUGGGAGGAAGCCUGAUGCAGCAACGCCGCGUGCGGGAUGACGGCCUUCGGGUUGUAAACCGCUUUCGCCUGUGACGAAGCGUGAGUGACGGUAAUGGGUAAAGAAGCACCGGCUAACUACGUG